rnacentral:rRNA from 1 species
GACGAACGCUGGCGGCGUGCCUAACACAUGCAAGUCGAGCGAAAGGACGCGAAGCUUGCUUCUUUGAUGUUAGCCGAGGGGGGGUGUGUAACGCGUGGAUCCCCUACCUAUCUGACUGGGAUAAUUUCGGGACACCGGCGCUAAUCCCGGAUAAUCUUCUGCACCGCAUGGGGCAAAAGUGAAAGACGGUCUUGCUGUCACGUAUAGCUGGUUCCGCGCUGCAUUAGCUAGUUGGUGAGGUCACGGCGUACCAAGGCAACGAUGCAUGGCCGACCUGAGAGGGUGAUCGGCCACACUGGAACGGAGACACGGUCCAGACUCCUACGGGAGGCAGCAGUAGGGAAUCGUCCGCAAUGGGCGAAAGCCUGACGGAGCAACGCCGCGUGAGGGAUGAAGGUCGUCGGGUCGUAAAACUCUGUUAUUAGGGAAGAACAUAUUUGUAAGUGACUGUGCGCAUCUUGACGGUAACUAAUCAGAGAGGCACGGCUAACUUCGUG